rnacentral:rRNA from 1 species
GAUGAACGCUGGCGGCGUGCCUAAUACAUGCAAGUCGAGCGAACAGACGAGGAGCUUGCUCCUCUGACGUUAGCGGCGGACGGGUGAGUAACACGUGGAUAACCUACCUAUAAGACUGGGAUAACUUCGGGAAGCCGGAGCUAAUACCGGAUAACAUGUUGAACCGCUUGGUUCAACAGUGAAAGACGGUCUUGCUGUCACUUAUAGAUGGAUCCGCGCCGCAUUAGCUAGUUGGUAAGGUAACGGCUUACCAAGGCAACGAUGCGUAGCCGACCUGAGAGGGUGAUCGGCCACACUGGAACUGAGACACGGUCCAGACUCCUACGGGAGGCAGCAGUAGGGAAUCUUCCGCAAUGGGCGAAAGCCUGACGGAGCAACGCCGCGUGAGUGAAGAAGGUCUUCGGAUCGUAAAACUCUGUUAUUAGGGAAGGACAAAUGUGUAAGUAACUAUGCACGUCUUGACGGUACCUAAUCAGAAAGCCACGGCUAACUACGUG